GAAGGAAAGAAAGAGGAAGAAAGGAAAAAACAUCAAUGCAACACCAAGUGCUUCAAUUGGUCGCUCACCACAAGGUUCAACGGGACCUACUGAAGCAAGCCAACACGCUCGUGGCAUUACCAUGGGCGAUGACGAUGCUAAGGCGGUUGAACAGCCAAGCACACUCGCGGGUACCACUUGAUACCUUGGUAAGGCGAGCUGUAAACGAUGACAAGAAUUUCGUUAUUAGCGGCCCAGCUCCUCUAACGUCUAAAACGUCACAGGCUGGAAGAAAUGGUUCACUGACAAGUCCCGGUACUUAAGAAUUUCGUUCCGUUCGGCUAUGGAAACAGUGACUCUCCCAUUUUGCGUAGCAUCCAUAAUGUGUGAGGAAGCAAAGGAGUCGCAGACUAUGACGUCUCAGA